rnacentral:lncRNA from 10 species
GUGAGUUUAGACAUGUGCACGUAAUCCCCAGGACAUACCAAAAGAAACAGGCAUUCAAUAUAUCAAGGGAUAGCCAUUUCUCCCAGAGCCCAGUGGGCUGUGGCUCUUGUGUCCCUUAAGACCAGUGCUUCUCGAACUGUAAUGUGCAUCGGGUCACCUGGGCAUCCUAUUAAAAUGCAGGUUAUGGUUCCUGGCCGGGCCUGAGAUUUUGCAUUCCUAACAAGCUCCCAGGCGAUGCCCAUGCUUGUAGUCUGUGGACAGCACUUUGAAUGCCUGAAACCACCUCCCAGACAUGUCCCGCCUUCCUGGAGCUGGCCUCCUGGUUUCAGACGUGUGGGCAAUUGGUGCUGAGAUCAUUCAGGGCACGUAAGGAAUGCGCACAAAUGCAGAGCUCCAGGGAAGAAAAGUCACAGCACAGGACCCAAUAGGAAAACUGCCAUUUGGGGAGACCAAGCCAAGGAGCGCUUUGCUCCUGCUGCUUUUCUCAAGGAAGAGCUUGCUUCCUGCAGUAGCUGAUGCUAUCUACUGCCAGCCUGGAGCCAGGCUAAGAGGAAGAGAAAGAAGAAAAUGCCUGCAGAAACAUUCUAUGUAAAGAACACUUUGGGAUCAGAAAAAGAAGCGCGCCCGUGUUUCACUUGCAGCCUCACCCUGCACUAGGAAAUGCUAGGCCAAUGCAGAAAACUACAUCCUGCUUGGCAAGCCCUGCAGGACACACACACACACACACAAGCAUGUGCACACACACGUGGCCCUUCAACGUCACCUCAGCUGUGGGUUAGGAGCCACACCUGUCCACACCUGGUGUUACAACCAUCUGCUCCAUUUCAGGUAACCCUCCUUCCUCCACUGCACAAUCACUUAGAAACUGUAACUCUUCUUGGGCCCAGGUGCACAGGUAAAUUCGGAUCUUUCCCAAGGGAUCUCUGGGGCCUCGGGUCACAGCAGACCAGAACUUGACCUGGAGGCUGGUGUCCCCCAAACUGCUGUAUGGACCCUGCAACAGCUGGGGAGUCCUCGUCUCAACAGCCCUGCUGUCUCCCACUGAGGUCAUCUGCUGGCCCUCCUGGUGGCCCUGUGAGGAAGCCAGGAGUCACUGAUGCUGCUCUAUCGACGGCGACAGAUGGAUCACAGCUGAUAAGUGACUUGCCCAGAGUUUUGCAGCUUGGAACUCACAGAGCAGAAGCUGGGAAUCAGGUGGGGAAGCACCCAGCUCUCUGCUUCUCCUAAGCCAAGCUCUGCAGCGAGGUCCUGCUUCCCUCGGGACUCCUCUUUCAGCAUGACAUGAACUCAUUUUGAAUGUAAAGGCAAUGUCAAAGCCCUACAGCUAUUUAUACCAGAGCAUGUGUUUAUUAGCUCACUCUCCAGGGGGAAUAUUGCUGUUGUGAAUACACAACUACUCAUAACUACCGUCUUAAAAAUCUUCUCUACCCCAAAAUAUUUACUAAUGUAUUUAAGUAUUUAUUUUCUUGUAGUGAAAGGAAAUCAAGAUAAUUCUAAAAUUGUGGAAGAAAACAAAAAAAGUAUAAAGGAGAAAACAGAAGCUUCACAUAUUCUAACCAUUAUUAAUCUCAAAAUAUUUUAUUCCAGGUCCUUGUCUAUGGUCCAGGUCCUUGUCUAUGGUCCUAUAGCCUAUGCUGAGUGACACUGUGCUAUGUGUAUGCCAUUUGCACUCACCGUGGGGUCAUAAGCGUGCCAUUUCCUUUUUAUUAAAAAAAUACUUUGCAUACAUGAAAGUAUGUUUGCAUUAAAACUAUGCAAACAUCAGUUUUAAUAACUGUAUAAAUAUUCCAUCACAAGGACAUUCCAUAAUUUAUUUAAUCACUUUGGUAGUGUUGGACAUUUAAUUUUUUAAAAAGUCAAAUAAUGCCAGGAUUAAUGCCUGUUUAUAUGAACCAGUUUUCAUUUCCUGAUUAUUUUCUUCGGCCAGAUCCCCAAAAGUGGAAUUACUGAUAAAAGUAGGUGAGUGUUUUUAACACAUUUCUUCUUAUACACACACACACACACACACACACACACACACACCCAUCAACAAAUAGUUUUUCCUGGAAGGAACUUCCAGUAGUGUAUGAGAAAGCCUAUUGCACCACACCAUCCCCAGCAAUGAGAAUUACUACUGUAAAAAAAUCUUUGUUACAUUAAAUUUUUGGAGGACAUCUCAUUUUCUUGAUUGCAUUUGAUUAACUCAAAAUGUAUUUCUACAGGGUGGGGAACAUCACACACUGGGGCCUGUCGUGGGGUGGGGGGAUGGGGGAGGGAUAGCAUUAGGAGAAAUACCUAAUGUAAAUGACGAGUUAAUGGGUGCAGCAAAC